GCAUAUCAAUAAGCGGAGGAAAAGAAAAUAACAAUGAUUCCUCUAGUAACUGCGAGUGAAGAGGGAAAAGCUCAAAUUUUAAAUCUGUUAGGUUUACCUUAACCGAGUUGUAAUUUGAAGAAGCGUUUUCUGCGGAUUUGGUUAGUCCAAAUCCUUUGGAAUAAGGUAUCAUGGAGGGUGAGAAUCCCGUUCGGUUAACCAAAGCGCUUUACGAUACGCUCUCAAAGAGUCAAGUUGUUUGGGAUUGCAGCUUAAAAUGGGAGGUAAAUUUCUCCUAAGGCUAAAUAUUAGCGAGAGACCGAUAGCGAACAAGUACCGUGAGGGAAAGAUGAAAAGAACUUUGAAAAGAGAGUUAAACAGUACGUGAAAUUGUUGAAAGGGAAACGACUAAAGUCAGUCGUACCUACGAGUAAUCAACCUACUCGAGUGCGAUUUUGUGGGUAUGUUAGAGCUUAAAAACCUUCAUGCUUACAAAUUGGUGCUCUUUGGGCGUACUUUCUCGUAUGGUAGGUUAACAUCAAUUUCGAUCGUUAUAAAAUGACUGGAGGAAUGUAGCUUCGAUCUCGGUUGAAGUGUUAUAGCCUUUGGUAGAUGUAAUGAUUGGGAUUGAGGAUUGCAACGGAUACCCUCUGGGCUAUUCGUCUGAUCUCUGGAAGUUACCUUGGUGUCGAAAGCGUGCUUACGAUAUUAAGGUUGACGGCCAAUAGGUUAGAACGUGAUUAAAUUCGUUAAGGAUGUUGACGUAAUGGCUUUAAACGAC
rnacentral:rRNA from 1 species